rnacentral:lncRNA from 10 species
AUAUGUUCUGAAAUUAAACUUGAACUUUUUUCUGUGAAUUUUGAAGAUUUGGUAUCUUAUAAUUAUUUGGUGAGCAUUUGGCAUGAAUUAUUUAGCUUCUCCCCUGUUUAUGAUUUAUUUCUCUUGUCAUCGAUUUCCAAUAGGAAAAUGUUAUGGUUCUAAAUGUCUCCUGUAGACUUCAGUAAUUGAAAAAUGUCAGUCAAGAUGGGGGGAAUCUGUAAUAUAUAAUAGAGUUUAUCUUUUAGUUAUGUUCAUUUCCACUUUUUUUAAUGUGUUUUUUUUUUAGUAAAUGUCAAAAGUGUUACUCAGUGCAACAUAUUAUGCAAUAUUAUAAUCAACUAACCUCUUCAUUGAUAAUGACUUCAUAUUGAGAGGUUUUUUAAAUCUAGAAAUAUUCUUGUUUUAAAUUCCAGGUUAAAAUGUAAAGGUAUUUUUAUUUUUUUAAUUUUAAUUCUUCUCAAAGCUACUAGUACAUUAUAAAACAACAAUUUCACAUUUAGAAUUUUUAUAUGUAUAUAAAUUAGGAUUAUUUUUUAAUAUUAGCCUUAACUUUCUUUAACUUUUAUGAAAAACAACUAGUCCCAAGGGUAUUUUUACUAUUUAAUAUACAUUAUUCCUGUGAUUCAAAAUCUUAGCAGUAGAACCUGUUGAGCUACUUAACUUUCUGUCUUGGGACUAUCCAGGUGCAGUUAUAACUGGUUUCAAAGUUGUGACCUUUUCCUUGCUUGUUUCAAAAUCAUUCCUUAAAAAAUGUUCAGUAUUUUUCUUUUGUCAAAAAAUAAAAACAGGAUUUGUGGGUUGUUCUGUUUUUUAAAAUUAGUUUGAGAAACUUCCUUUGCCACUUGUUUUCUGUGCAAAUGUUGUAAGAGCUCAAAUUCCCUGGGGGUAGGGAGGACUUUUAUAAGGUUUUUUUGGUUGAAGGGUAUAAAAGGCACUUAAAAGGUAUACAGUUACUUUUAUUUCGAUAUCCCAGUCAUUUUGACAUUAUGAUAAGCUUUCCCCACUUUAUAGGUUAUCUGAAAAUUUGGUGGGGGGCGGGUAUUUUAUUUAUACUUAAUAUAACAAAAUUAUUUUCCUAUGUGUAGUCAAUAGCACAUACAAAAAAUUAUCUCCUGUUUGUAGUCAGUAGCACAGUCAGUAUUCACCAAAAUACUGAGUUAUUUUUCAAGUAAAGGUAUAAGUAUGAAUGAGAAACAGUUUGUGGGUUGGGUAUUGUCAGUCCUUCUUUUUCAGAUAACUUUCUAAAUGGUCAUUCAAUCUGUAAUCUUAAACUUUUUUAAUGUUAUAAAUUCUUCAAAUCAGUAUUUGUAUUAAAUGCAGUGACCAGACUAUGUCACUGAUACAAUGUCAUGAUUAGAUGUGCAGAAGACUAUGUUACAUGGAUGAUAAAUGAACUUUUAACAUAUAGAAAUUAAUAUCAGAUUAAACUAAAACAUUAAGCAAAGUUAAUACAUGCUUGCAUACAUAUAUAUAUUUAUUUAUUAAUGAUAUGUGGAGAAUCUUUGUGCUUCAUAGUCACUAGACCUAAAGUAGAAGCAGUUGUCAAGAAUGUCCAACUGCUAUUCAUCUUUGUGGCCAAAGUAAAUUUCAGAUUUUUUUUUUGUAAUGGUUUUCUUUAGUCUCUUUAUUAACCCAUCAUCAUGACAAGUCUGUCAAGUGACACAUGUGAAAAGCAGAUGUCCUUUCUUAUUCCUGGUGCUUCCUAAGGAGGCAGUGCAAUGCAGGAGAAGGAACAUUAUUAGAGAUAAAGGAAAAAACCAGAAGUGCUUUCUCCUCUCACAUUCCACUCAACACUUCUCUCACCAAAUGUGUGUGGGGAUUUCUCUCCACCAACAACCAGCAGUUCUUUACUGCAGAUUCUCCAGUGGAUACCAGCCAGGUGUCCUCUAAUUCAGUUCAAUUCUGACAUUAUCUACUGGGAGAUAGUGUCAGAUCCCGCAAGUGGAGGGCUCAGUCCUACAAGACUACCCCUUACUUCAGAUGUCAGUCACAAGCAGUUAGCGGUUUGUGAUUCUGACCAACUGGCUAGAGGUCCCCCUCCUCAAGUGUGAUUAAUUUGCUAGAGCAGCUCACAGAAUUCAGGGAAACACUUUAUUUACAUUUACCCAUUUAUUAUAAAGGAUAUUAUGAAGGAUACACAUGAACUGCCAGAAAGACAAGGAGCAUAGGCAAGAUACUGAGAAGGGUCACGGAGCUUCUGUGCCUUCUCCAGGUGCACCACCCUCUGGGAAUAGUCAGUUCAUGUGUUCAGCUGUCUCGAAGCUCAUUCGAACCCUGUCCUUCUGAGUUUCUGUGGAGGCUUCAUUACGUUAAGGUUCAGAAAUCAAUACCCCAAAAUAUGGGGCUUUGACAUGCUGAAUUAAAGAAGCAGCCUCAAGGCCUCUUGGCCUUCUCCAGCUCUCCUCACCCAAAUCCUGUCUCUCCCAAAGCACAAGAUGAGGCUGUUCACCAAAGUUCCCUUAUUUACCUAGAAACUGGACCUUAAAGAGGAACACAGUUGCCUGCGAUUCCAUCCCUGUAAUUUUAUUAACCAGAGAUUAAAACUUAUAUCACAGAGGAAGAGACUAAAAAUUAAACACCACACCUGGAGCCCAGAUGACCUGUCCCAAUCUAUUAUCUGUUCUCCAGUCCCAUUUAGUUCCCAAAGGGAAUCAUUUACAAACCAUUGUCUGAUCUUCCGGCCCAUUUAUUUACAGCUCCCCCUCUUUCCCCAAUGAAAAUGAUACUUAAGUGUCAGCCAUCUAUCGGCUCUUUGAGUUUUCACAUUUUGUAUGACUCCUGUGCACACACAUGCAUGUAAUAACUGUUAUACUUGUUAACUUUUUUUCAUUAUAGGGGUAUCCACCAUGAUUAUAUAUGAUGGGGAGGAAAGGGAUUACUCCAUUUCUGCCCCUGCAGUCUGUAGGCAUGAUUGAUUACAUCAUUGGUCGCCGGUGAUUAACUCAGUCUCCAAGCCCUGUCGUGUCCCUGGAGGUUGGAGGGUGGCACUGAAAGCUCCAACCAUCUCAUCAUGCUUUGAUCUUUCCGAUGACCAGACCCCACCCUGAAGCUAUCUACGGGUCCCCAGCAACAUUCAUUUCGUUAUCAUACAAAUGACAUUCUUACAAUUUCAGAGAUUCCAAGGGCUUUAGGAAAUGGAGAUGAAGAGCAAAUAUAUAUUUCACAAUAUCACAAACAUACCCUUGGGAAUUAGACCUCUGAUCUAAUCUAGGCUCCCUCACUUGCCAUUUUUGUGACCUUGAACAAGUUGUUCAUCUUUUCUGGAUAGUUCUCUGUUAAAAAAAUUAAAAUAAAAAAAUGGUGGCUAUCAGGUUGUUAGGAGGACUAGAUAAGAGAACUAUGUGAAGGACCCUGCACAGUGCUAGCAACAAAGUUGUUUAGUAAGUGCUAUUUCAAUUUAUUUUGCUUCCAAGCUCAUGUGAGCUCCCUCAGUGUGUACCACCAAAUCACAUGAUGUGUAUCCCAGUCAAAUCUUAAAGGUCAUCCACCUUGAAUCUUUAAGUUAAUUAACGUGUGUUUUUAAAACUGCAUUAUAAGAACGUUAGGGUUUUUGUUUUGAUCCUAUGGAAGUUAAAUUUUUUACACAAGCAUUCAACUGUUUAGCUUCAAACUGAACAGAUAAAUAGUCUGUAUUAUUUCAUUAUGUAUUAAAAAAUGAUUAAGCCUGCCUCAGGCAGUUCAGGCAAAGCAGGUAAAAGAUUAUCAAGGAGUAACAUUAGAAAACACUAAUCAGAGUGCCUAAAAAGCUUUAUGCGGUCCAGGUUGUACAGGGAUGUUGGAACAGUAAAACAAACAAAACAUUACAAGGUAUGAAGCGUUCGAGAUAGGUAGAAUAGAGCAGGUUAUAUUAGAGAAGUCUCUUCUAAAAUUGUGUUGGCUAGCCUGGGAUUUGAACUUAUACCGUGUAUGUAUGUCCAUGUGUAACAGGUUGAACAUGCAAGAAGCAGUGUUCAUAAAAGGUGGCAAACUUGUUUUACUUGUUUCUCAGUCUUUUCAGAUCAGUACUUAUAAAACACUGAUAUUUACAGUAAAUAUCUUAUAUUAAAUAUUAGCUAACCCUAUUAAAUUGUGUGUCCUUGUGCUGCAGUCAUUUAAUGACCUCAUUCUUUGGUAAGUUGGCAUGUGAUUUGAGAUAGCUCUAAGUGCUAAUGGAUUGUUUGAAGGAGUUAAAGGCAAAACCAGGAAGAGAAAACUAUUUUUAGGAAAAAGCGAUCAUACAACAGGCCUUAAAUAGAAGAAAUGAGAUAUCUCUAUCUUUACUAUGUAACCUUUAAUUCCUUACACAUUUUGACUUCAUAUUUUUUGUAUGUAAAUGAGAAUGUUAUAGUCUUGUAAAUUCCUUUUCCUCUGUGACUACAUUCAGUUAUUUAUUUUAUUGUGUGUUUGUGCAUGUCGGUAGAGCACAGUAUUUAGUAGAAUGAGUUAUUGGUUAAACCACCUGGAUUCAUUUGUAAAAUGGGGCCACCUGUCUCUUAAAUUGUAAUGAGGAUUUGAUUAGAUAAUCUAGAUAAAUCACUUAGCACAAGAGUCUCCAGCCCCCGGACUCUUGACUGGUACUGGUCUGUGGCCUGUUAGGCACUGGGCUGCACAGCAGGAGGUGAGCAGGGAGCAAGCUAGCACUAGGGCCCAAGCUCCGCCUCCUGUCGGAUCAGUGGCAGCAUUAGAUACUCAUAGGAGCACAGACCCUGUUGUGAACUGUGCGUGUGAGGGAUCUAGGUUUCGUGCUCCUUACAAGAAUCUAAUUAAUGCCCGAUGAGUUGAGGUGGAACAGUUUCUUCCCAAAACCGUCUCAGGAAACCUGUCCCUGGUGCCAAAAUUUGGGGGACCUCUGACGUAGCACACUAUCUGGCACAUACCAAGCACUCAGAAAAUAUCCCAUUUCUCAAAACUCAGUUCCAGUGUCAAGUCUUAAUAGUAUAUUGAUCUUGGAACUCCAAGGUAGUUGGUCCUCUCUUUGUGCCAUAAAUGUGCCUUGUACUCAGUAGUGCUAAAUUGCUAUCAACUAGUGCUAAAUGUACUACUAAUUCAUCUGUGUGUCCACUUCCCUUCUUAGAUUGUGAGCCCCUUGAGGACAGAGAUGGGUUUACUCAUAUUUAUAAAUUCAUUGGCAUGAUAAAUAUUUGCUGAAAGAAUAAAAUUGUAUUCUUAUGUUUUAAGCAGGGUCCCCUCCACCUCUGAGUGGAAGAUGGUCUGGGAGCAAAGGUGACAGGUCUUCUAAAAAAUCUGGCCACAUUCUCAACCCACCACACCCCCGCUUUUUUAAACAGCUAUUUAAUUGCCAUUGUAAUCCUAAGGAUUGGAUCAAUUUUUCACUUCCCUUUUUCACACUUUUUUCCUUUUACUAAGAAAAUAAAGUAAUAAAGUGACUGCCAAAUGGAGAAAACUGUCCACUAAAUAUGAAUUAAUAAGUGCUAUUAUCAGAAAUUGUGUAAAAGCAACAUAAUGGCACUAUAAAAAGGUAUUAUCUUAGAAUCAAAAACCUUGGGUUUAUAUUAUAGCCCUGCUACUUUCUAGUCAUAUGACAGUGAUCAAGCUAUAUUACCUCUUUGGCUUGACAAAAUAGGGGUCAUCUCUAUUUCUGGCUUGUUAUGAUUGAUGUGAAAUAUUCAUACAAACUACCACUGUGCCUGGUAAGUAGAAGACACUCAAAUAUGUCUUGGAGUUACAGUUAAUACUGUAUCGUUUAAAUUUGAGAAAAACCAACUUUAAAAAAUCACAUAGAUACAGUUGUUUACUGCUAGAAAUUUUAUUUAAAUUAGUUGAUACUCUUGGUUAGGUAAUGAAAAACAAUGGUUUUAUCUCCAUUAUGCUGUGAUAGGGAAGAGUAACACAGUUCAAAUGGCAAAGGCAUACCUGACAAUUAAAAUGCAUAGUUAAAGGCUAAUACUUCCUGAACACAAGAAGACAAGUCUCUACUUGAUACUACUCUCCACAGUUAAAUCAUUGAUACUUUGUGCCAUACAGUGAAAACAGAACCAUCUAGGUGUUCACGGAUUGUAUUUUUCCUUAUGAAAGGUAGAAGGUUAGAGAAAAUUAUUCCCAAUACAAUUAAUACAAAUAAAAUUGGUUAUUAGGUGCCUUUUAAUUAGGCAGUAAGGGCAUAUGAAGCUUCAUUACCUAUGAGAAUUUUGUCAAAAUUAUUUCCCAGUUACCAUGUUUUAAAACAGCCUCUCAGAAUUCCCCACUUCUAAUUUCUCCUUUCUAUUCUACCAAUUUUACUCCAUACCUUUUUGCUAAAUAAACAUUUUCUUCC